UGAAACUAGAUACAAGCGAGCGGCGGACGGGUGAGUAACACGUGGGUAACCUGCCCAAGAGACUGGGAUAACACCUGGAAACAGAUGCUAAUACCGGAUAACAACACUAGACGCAUGUCUAGAGUUUAAAAGAUGGUUCUGCUAUCACUCUUGGAUGGACCUGCGGUGCAUUAGCUAGUUGGUAAGGUAACGGCUUACCAAGGCAAUGAUGCAUAGCCGAGUUGAGAGACUGAUCGGCCACAUUGGGACUGAGACACGGCCCAAACUCCUACGGGAGGCAGCAGUAGGGAAUCUUCCACAAUGGACGCAAGUCUGAUGGAGCAACGCCGCGUGAGUGAAGAAGGGUUUCGGCUCGUAAAGCUCUGUUGGUAGUGAAGAAAGAUAGAGGUAGUAACUGGCCUUUAUUUGACGGUAAUUACUUAGAAAGUCACGGCUAACUACGUGCCAGCAGCCGCGGUAAUACGUAGGUGGCAAGCGUUGUCCGGAUUUAUUGGGCGUAAAGCGAGUGCAGGCGGUUCAAUAAGUCUGAUGUGAAAGCCUUCGGCUCAACCGGAGAAUUGCAUCAGAAACUGUUGAACUUGAGUGCAGAAGAGGAGAGUGGAACUCCAUGUGUAGCGGUGGAAUGCGUAGAUAUAUGGAAGAACACCAGUGGCGAAGGCGGCUCUCUGGUCUGCAACUGACGCUGAGGCUCGAAAGCAUGGGUAGCGAACAGGAUUAGAUACCCUGGUAGUCCAUGCCGUAAACGAUGAGUGCUAAGUGUUGGGAGGUUUCCGCCUCUCAGUGCUG
rnacentral:rRNA from 1 species